rnacentral:rRNA from 1 species
CCUACGGGAGGCAGCAGUGGGGAAUUUUGGACAAUGGGCGAAAGCCUGAUCCAGCCAUUCCGCGUGAGUGAAGAAGGCCUUCGGGUUGUAAAGCUCUUUCGCAAGGGAAGAAAACUUAGAUACUAAUAUUAUCUGAGGUUGACGGUACCUUGAUAAGAAGCACCGGCUAACUACGUGCCAGCAGCCGCGGUAAUACGUAGGGUGCGAGCGUUAAUCGGAAUUACUGGGCGUAAAGCGUGCGCAGGCGGUUUUGUAAGUCAGAUGUGAAAUCCCCGAGCUCAACUUGGGAACUGCGUUUGAAACUACAAGACUAGAAUAUGUCAGAGGGGGGUAGAAUUCCACGUGUAGCAGUGAAAUGCGUAGAGAUGUGGAGGAAUACCAAUGGCGAAGGCAGCCCCCUGGGAUAAUAUUGACGCUCAUGCACGAAAGCGUGGGGAGCAAACAGGAUUAGAUACCCUGGUAGUCCACGCCCUAAACGAUGUCUACUAGUUGUUGGUGGAGUAAAAUCCAUGAGUAACCGCAGCUAACGCGUGAAGUAGACCGCCUGGGGGAGGUACGGUCGCGAGAGUAAGUACGUACAAGAGAAGUUAGUACGGCGUGAGACGUAGCCGACGGACGACCGACGAGGGGAGGAGGG